UACAUAGGUUUAUUCCUUGUCCAUAAUCUGAAGAGAUUUGAAAUCUAAAUUUGAAAGUUUCCAUAUUCGCUGACAAGACAUGCCUAAUGUCAGCAGAAUGGUGAGGAUCUGGUUUAUUUAACCUCUCAAGCUUCAGCUUAGCAUUCCCAGUGAAUAUGAAAAAAAAGCUUCUCAGCCAGGCAUUACCACUUCAGAUUUUACACCUUAGUAAGCUGCAACAUGUUUGUGAUGUAGUCAAGUAUUUAGUCUGUGAUUUAGUCUGUGUGCCCAAAGUUCUGUUUAUCAUCCAUGAUGUUAGUGAUAACUAAAUCAAUACUGGCCAUCCCUGGAUAAUGAACAGGUUCUGAGAGGUGGAUUUUGUCUAUAAGUAAGGAAAUGCACAAAAAUCACUCGAUAUUUAACCAUACCGCCACAGUAUUGGAAUGAAUGGUAUCAAAAGCUCAUGAGACUGAGAAGAAUGGAGAAUUUCGAGGUUUGUCAAUCACAGAAAUGAAUGUUUGAAGCAGCCAGUAUGAAGCUCACAGCCCUGGUAUAGGUUUUCUGUAACAAACAAUCUGCACAUUUUGUCGAAGUGGAUGUCAAAGUUGUGUGAGGACAUCACUACUGCAAAAGCAACAUGACCAGCAGCUUUUCCAACACGGACAUCAAUCUGAGAACAAAAUCAUUUGUUGUGAGAAUCCUCUACUUCACUGAUGUAUCAAACGUGCACUGGGAUCACAACUAUUUUGGGUGUAAGACAUCCACCUCUCUCUGAAUAAAGAAAGAAUAGAGUGUGGUGCAAACUGGUGCAAAGCCAGAAUAUUUAUUAGCCCGCUGUGCAAAACACAUUUCACCCGCUAAUCCAGUCACUGCAGAAUUUCUAACUCUACAUGCUAUUUUGCUUUUUGACACUGGUUUCAAAUUUCAUCAUCUUUAAGGUACUUUCCAAACCAAGGGAUUAUUGGAACUAGCUUAAUUGGUUUAUCCUGCAUAGGAAGGAACUGCAGACGAUGAUUUAAACCAAAGUUAGACACAAAACGCUGGAGUAACCUAGCGGGUCAGACAGUAUCUCUGGAGAAAAGGCAUUGAAUUAUAGUCAUAGAGUGAUACAGUGUGGAAACAGGACCUUCGGCCGAACCUGCCCACACCAACCAACAUGUCCCAGCUACACUAGACCCACCUGCCUGUGCUUGGUCCACAUCCCUCCAAACCUGUCCUUUCCAUGUAACUGUCUAUCUAUUUCUUAAACGAUGGGACAGUCCCAGCCCAAACUACCUCCUCUGGCAGCAUGUCCCAUACACCCACCACCCUUUGUGUGAAAAAGUUAUCCCUCAGAUUCCUAUUAAAUCUUUUCCCCUUCACCUUAAACCUAUGUCCUCUGGUCCUCGAUUCCCCUACGCUGGCCAAGAGACCCUGUACAUCUACCCGUUCUAUUCCUCUCAUGAUUUUAUACACCUCUAUAAGAUUCCCCCUCAUCCUCCUUCGCUCCAAGGAAUAGAGUCCCAGCCUACUCAACCUCUCCUACAUCAUAGGUGAUGUUUCAUGUCGAGACCCUCCUUCAGACUUCAGGUUUAUCCUGUCCAUUUAACUGAGCAAAAUAAUUAAAAGCGAGGAGUGCUUUUUGACAUUGAUUAACCAAAUUCUGAUGUUAUUUCAUAUUACUGUGAACAUUGUCAGUAAAUAUGAUGUAAAAUAUUUAUUUGGAAUAUAAUUGUCACCCCUUGAUGGUGUUCCAUGUAUUUAAGUCAACGGAAACUUUCAGAGGCAGAGUAUAUCAUAUUCAGGUUACUGUACAAUGCGUUUAGUGAUACUGAACAAGAAUGCAUUUUGUGAUAAUAAUUUAUUAAACAAUAAUGGUAAUGGUUUACAUUGUAUCCCUAUUAUUUCUUUAGACGUAUAGCUCACCUGUUAGAUCCUACAAACAGAAUUUAGUCUGACUAACCUCAUUUCA